ensembl:lncRNA LINC01370 long intergenic non-protein coding RNA 1370
AGUAUUUGGUUUUCUGUUCCUGCGUUAGUUUGCUAAGGAUAAUGGCCAUUAUCUUAGCCAUUUGAAAAUAAUGAUUUAACCUCUCUCACCUUCAUUGUCAUUUUAGAAGAAACUACCAUUUGGUGUCCUGCUGAGACAAGAAAAUAUUUUCACAACUCAAGACAAGUUAAAUAUCCACUUAUGGGAACAGUGCUGAAGGCCUGGACUAGGAUGGUAGCAAUGGAGACAGACUAAAGAAAGAGAUGCAAUCAUUCCCUUGCAUAUGGUCCGUAUGAAGACGGGAUCAUUACAGGAAAGGUGAAGGAGAUACAGUCAUUAUGCUCUAUAUACACCCAUUUUUAUGGCUAGCGGCUGAAGAUGGGAUGCUUUCUUUGCUGGAAGACCUAUUACCUGUUAGGUUGCAAAAGAUGUGAUCAUCUUCCUAAACAAUAAUUUAGAGUCCCAUAACAAUUUUAAGUGUGCUGUUCAUGAAAAUUUGAAUACAUUGUAUUGGGAAUAUAAUGGAAGUGAGAUGCCUCAUGUCGUGAGAAAAUCUGACAUAAACUCCUUAAGCAUGAGAGGCCAUGUGGGUAUGGAAGCCCUGAAAGGGAGGAAAAAACAGCCAGACCCUAGCUGUUCCAGUCAUCCCAACUGAGGUGCCAGACUUGUGAUUGAGGCCAUCUUGCAUCAUCUAGGCCUAGUAGAGCUGCCAACUGACUGCAGACACAUGAGUCAAUCCAGCUAAUGCCACAUGGAGCAGAGACAAGCCGCCCAGCUGAGCCCAGUCCAGAUGACAGAAUCAUGAGCAAAUAAGAUGAAUAAUUUUACAUUUACACUGAUAAAAAGUUAAAGUUGCAGCUCUGUUUUCACACUACCUGAGGGAUCUUUGUAGAUUACAUAAACCCUAAGCCUCCUGUGUAAGUUAAGGAAAAAAAUUCCAAACUCACAGUGUUAUCGAGAGGAUUAAAUAACAUAAUUUAUGCAAAGUCUUAACCAUAGUUGCUAGCAUUUAAACUUUAACUUUUGUCCAUGUCUCUAAUGUAAUUUAAAAUGAUCUUACUCUUUAAGGUUUGAUCUAAUAGAAUAUUUGUCAGACACAAAGACCAAGAUUUGUCCCAGUUGAUGAACCCUGGGUAUAACUCAAUAGCAUAUUGGCAGUUUUUAUUUUCUGUUAAGUCUGGAUCCAUUCAAUUAGUGAUUUAUUUCUUAAUUUGUCAAACAUUACAUUAACAAAGUAACAACUUUUCUAUCCAUAUUAUAUUGUGGUUACAAAAAAUGGAUCAAUUAUAUUUGAAUUAAAAAAUUUAAUUGCCACCAAAGAAGAGAAAAAUAACUAGAGAAAAAUAAA